UCGAACGAACUCUGGUAUUGAUUGGUGCUUGCAUCAUGAUUUACAUUUGAGUGAGUGGCGAACUGGUGAGUAACACGUGGGAAACCUGCCCAGAAGMGGGGGAUAACACCUGGAAACAGAUGCUAAUACCGCAUAACAACUUGGACCGCAUGGUCCGAGUUUGAAAGAUGGCUUCGGCUAUCACUUYUGGAUGGUCCCGCGGCGUAUUAGCUAGAUGGUGAGGUAACGGCUCACCAUGGCAAUGAUACGUAGCCGACCUGAGAGGGUAAUCGGCCACAUUGGGACUGAGACACGGCCCAAACUCCUACGGGAGGCAGCAGUAGGGAAUCUUCCACAAUGGACGAAAGUCUGAUGGAGCAACGCCGCGUGAGUGAAGAAGGGUUUCGGCUCGUAAAACUCUGUUGUUAAAGAAGAACAUAUCUGAGAGUAACUGUUCAGGUAUUGACGGUAUUUAACCAGAAAGCCACGGCUAACUACGUGCCAGCMGCCGCGGURAWWCGGUCAUA
rnacentral:rRNA from 2 species